AGCGAACGCUGGCGGCGUGUUUUAGGCAUGCAAGUCGAUCGGCAGCGAGCCUGUAGCAAUACAGGUGUCGGCGAGAGGCAGACGGGUGAGUAACGCGUAGGAAUCUACCUUGAGGACUGAGAUAGCCCGGCGAAAGCCGGGGUAAUAUCAGAUGAUAUCGAAAGAUCAAAGUCGCCGCAAGGCGACACCUUAGGAUGAGCCUGCGUCCCAUCAGGUAGUUGGCGGGGUAAAGGCCCACCAAGCCGAAGACGGGUAGCUGGUCUGAGAGGAUGGUCAGCCACAAGGGAACUGCGACACGGUCCCUACUCCUACGGGAGGCAGCAGCCAAGAAUCUUCCGCAAUGGGGGAAACCCUGACGGAGCGACGCCGCGUGAGGGAUGAAGGUCUUCGGAUUGUAAACCUCUUUUGUCAGGGAAGAAUAAGUCUGUCAGGCAAUGGGCAGAUGAUGACGGUACCUGAUGAAUAAGCCCCGGCUAAUUACGUGCCAGCAGCCGCGGUAAUACGUAAGGGGCGAGCGUUGCUCGGAAUUACUGGGCGUAAAGGGCGUGUAGGCGGCCUUAUAAGUCGAAUGUAAAAAACCAGGGCUUAACCCUGGGGCUGCGUUCGAAACUGUGAGGCUUGAGUCUGGUGGAGGGUAAUGGAAUUCCCGGUGUAGCGGUGAAAUGCGUAGAUAUCGGGAAGAACACCGAAGGCGAAAGCAGUUAUCUAUGCCGAGACUGACGCUGAGGCGCGAAAGCAUGGGGAUCAAACAGGAUUAGAUACCCUGGUAGUCCAUGCCGUAAACGAUGUAUACUAGGAGUUGGUGGUAUCCAUUAGCUCCGUAGCAAACGCAUUAAGUAUACCGCCUGGGGAGUACGGCCGCAAGGUUG
rnacentral:rRNA from 1 species